rnacentral:lncRNA from 1 species
GAGGAAGGAAUUGCGGCGAGAAGAGUGGUGAUGAAGAGAGGGGCGAGUGAAUGAAAGUGAAGGGAGUGAGAAGGGUUUAGUAGGAAGAGAGUUGAGGGUAGAGAGAGAGGUGGAAGUGGGUUUUGAAGAGAAAAGUGAUUUAGGGUUUAAAGCUAAGAGGGAAGAAGCAGAGGUAGCUGAGCAUGCUGCCAUUUUGGCAAUGUUGCUGCUGUGGUUUGUUUGGAUGAUGGGAAGGAGAGGAACUAUGACUAUGAGGUUGAAAUGAAAUCGG